UUGAUUUAUACCCAACUGUUUGGAAACACAGCAAACAUAAAAAUACAAGUGGGCUAUACACUAAACAUGGCCCUGGGUAUGUUCAGUUUGUCUCCACACACUGAGUCAACAUUUAAAAUUUAGGAGACUUGUGCAGAAAUCUGCACUUCAGAACUUCUCCUAAAGAAUCAAAUCUAGUCCCCCUUGAGCCCAGGCUCCUGUGCGGUCUGCCCUGCAGAGGUGGCCCCUUCUUGGUGGGGCGUGUGUUCUCCAGUUUGCUGUCCUCACCUGGGACCUUCGCUUACUCGGGCCACCUAUGUUGCCUCUGAUAACUUCACACCAUUUUUAGUCGCCAUCAGGGAGAACAAAGAAGAGAUGGUCAAAUUUUUGAUAGACAGCGGGGCAAAUGUACAUGCAGUCGACAAGCUGGAAAGCUAAGAAGAGUUUACCUUCUUCGCAUACUGGGGCAGAAAACAUCCAAGAAAAGUUGCAAUUGUCUGGCAAGGAUGAAAAAGAAGAAAUGGUUGUCAAGUUGGGAACCAGCAAUGGCAGCCGCAUGGAUCCACUGAAGAAUGUUGAGCAGAAGAGUAAGAAGAUUCGAUUUGAGUCUUAGGGUUUCCUGGUUAUGACAUAAAGCAGUGAUGCACAAGCUUUUUCUAUAA